rnacentral:rRNA from 14 species
GUCUACGGCCAUACCACCCUGAACGCGCCCAAUCUCGUCUGAUCUCGGAAGCUAAGCAGGGUCGGGCCUGGUUAGUACUUGGAUGGGAGACUGUAUGCA